AACUAACUAACUAACCAACUAACCAACUAACCAACUUACUAACUAACUAACCAACUAACAAACCAAGCGCGUGAUUCGUAUUAAUUGUGCGAAUUCACGUUGACAUUCGGAACGAAAUUUUCGCAUUUCAGGCAAGAGUGACUUAAUAGCUUUAACAAAGAGUCUGGAAUUACUAAACGCCAUACAUCCCGAGUGACUUCUACAUAAAAAGUCUAGGAUUGUGGAUUUCAUUGCUUCCGUUUUAUCAUUUCCACAUGACAAAGUGCGUCCAUUCUCUUUUCGAUUGAUGUCACAGACCAAGGUCUUUCCAACAUAUGUCGUUCUCGUAUUCUGCAUUCCGUAACGCUGUGAUUCAUCCAAGUACGUCCUUUAUACCUGAAGAGAGUCUGGCACAAAAACAUCCAGAAUUUAUCGAAGUACACGCAGAUUGCUCAUACGUGCAGAGGCUUGAAGUUAUCAUCACAGAUGCUGUUUGGGGAAAGGCGUUCUUGCGAAACAAGUAGGAAUAAAGAAACCUCUGCCAGAUUUCUUGUCAAGUUUCAGACCUUGGGCAUUUGUAAGACCAAGACGUACAUCCUUUGCUCCUGCAGAUAAUCAGGUUUAUGCUUACUUUGCAGCACGUUGGAAGAUGUUAAAAAUAUUUUGCUCUCACCUGUUAGCCACAAGUAAAUUGGAGUUAUGCUUGAUAAGUUAUUAUAUUUUGCAUCUAGUUGUGCCGUGCUCUUGUCACAGAUCAUUCAAGUAUGACUUAAUAAUUUUAAUUUUUUUAAAAAAUCGCUGUCAGCCGUAUUGGCAUUGAUUCCUCAAUGUCUUCCUUUCUUGUCUCACAUUUAGACGUGGCAUUGGUACGUUCAUCCGUUAUUUAUGAAUCCGUACGAAUCAACAAAAUUUCAAGACACUCACCGUGUCCUGUUUAUCUGUAACUGUGGGAUUCGAAGAAACACGUUUAUUAUGCCUGAAGAAGCAUUUCAGUUUUCCGCGUUGGUUGUGGUAUUACCAAAAAAUUCACACCAUUCUGUAUUCCAUUUAUUCGGUAAUUAAAUUUUGUUUCUGAAGUUGCGGAUUUUGCCACAAUCGCUUCUUAAAUCAGGUGUAAUUUGGUACGGGAUUGUGAGAACUAAUUCUGGAAAUAUUUUUGAAGAAACGUAACGGUUUUCAAAGGAUUUGUGUUCUGCACUUUCUUUGCACUCCUUGACCGAAUCCUGUGUUAAAUGUGAGACGUAAUUUUCUUUGCCAUAGAUGGCUCUGGCAGUGAAAUCAGGAUUGAGUAUAAAUUGUGCAGAGGCAGUGGGCUGGUCACUCACUACUCAAAAAUGCAUACUUCAAGACCAAGAAACCUCCGAAAAGGAAGCGGCGAAAACGAACAACAGGGUUGUAGAGCUACGAAACAACAUCUCACGCAAAAUGAAGAUCCAGUCAUCGCGACUGCUGCACGACAGACCAAAUUACAUGCUUCUGAUAUGCGGAGUCGUAGCAGUGUGGGUUUCAAUCAUUACUGGACAGAAUAUCUCAACACGCAACAUCUGAUACAUUACUCCGUCGAAUACGAAAGACGAGACGCGGGGUGACUUAAGUUAUAUUAUUUAUAAUUUUGUGUUUUUACGCGGAUUUCGAUGUUUUGGGCCACUAUAUUCUACCGCAUAUUCGCCUCUCUUGUUGCUGGUGGCUACUAAGCUUCACAUUCUGAUGAUGAGCCAAGGAUUUUCGGUCGACGUCACUGACUUCCAGCUUGACGAGUAUUCUAAACUCUGUUUCAUCAACCUCUGAAUUUGGGGUUCUGUCCAAAUCAUUACGCGACUGGCCUGAGGUCUGGAAGUCUUUGAUGAUGAAACAUUUUGGUGUAUUAUUUUACACUUAGUGACACUGAUGCCGGAACCUUAAAAGUCUGCGUAAUUAGUCUUCACAGAUGAGAAAAGAACAACUUAAUAAUACGAAAAUAGGCUUAUCAGUGUCAUCUAAUGAUUUCACAUGACUUCUACAGUCACCUCAUUAUGGCUGUGAUUAAGUUGCUUGGGUUUUCAAUUCAAUUGCCUAUAAAACCUACAGAUGAACGUGACUUAGAAUCACGUACCGCAUUCUGGACCUUAUCACCCUAGGAUUCAUCGAAAUAUGUACAGAAAUUCAUAAGGAAAGUAACGUAUAAUUUCUUGAUCAAUUUGAAAUUCUUACAUAUAUUCAGAAUGUGGUGUGUCUCCUGUAGAUUUUCCAGUCGGCUUCACGCCAUUCUUGGAAAUAUAGAAGAGCCUUGAAGGUGCCAUAUCUGAUGCCACAGACGUAAGCAGCCCAAGCUAUUGUCCGAGGCGCCCGUGGCUGUGGAACUGCAGAUUGUAAAGUUUUCGAUACAACACGUUUCUUAGAAUGGCAUGCAGUGUUACCAGACGUAAUGUGGUCGAAGGCUACUGGAAGUGAAAUUAUUAUUUGAGUUAAACACAACAAUUCCUCUUCUACUUAAGUUGCCCUCUUGAACGCGAGAGGGAAUUGAGGUUUCUGCGUAUGUGAUGACAAAUUAAACUAAACUUAGAGAUAUAAUCUAUUGUCUGGCCGGGUCAGCCUGAUACGGUAACCGAGUAGACCGUACAGCCAGCAACUCGACGCCGAAUGUCGGGCGGCGGUAAAUAACCAGUCUCCCUAAGGGGGCCCACGGCUUCGGUCGGAGGAGCCCCUUUAGGUGGGGUGAUGGUCCCGUCAGUGGAUGAUAUGCCUCUUAAAUCCAUCAUAUGGCGUCUGCUACCCACGUUAGGGGCGGCCUAAAACAAACUUUGAGGAAUGCAUCGGGAAACUACUUCAAGAUUUCCCGCAGUUAAUAUAGAUUCUGGAACGUGUUUAAUGAUGGGUCACCAACUUUCAAAAUGGAAAGACGGACUGAUGAUGAUGAUGAUAGAUAUUAUCAUUCUCGGUACCUCAGACUAUAUAUCGUCGAAUGAGUGGGUGAUAUGAAUAAUGAAUCGGGAAGGAUGAGGACGGAUGGCUGUUUCAAAAUAAGUUACUUAAGAUUUUAUUCCGUCCUUACGAUGGGACUGGCUCAGUGGCUAAGUCAGUUGUUUACGCUCUCAUGAAUAUUCCGUUUUGUAAUGAACCAUCGACUUAAUUGGAGGUUGCAUUAGAAAUUUGGGUUGGCAACCACAGAUUGGGGCGGGGUGGGGCCCCAAUCAUUACAAGCAGGAUGUUUGAUUUCUCCUCUCAUUUCGACACACUAUAGUUCAAUACUCGCAUUCUUGGUGGUGUUAUUAUUGUUGUUGUUUUUGAUAUUAAUAUGUGAACAGACAGACGUUCAAUUAAGAGGAGCAGCUUGACUCUAAUUAUUUUGGUCUUAGUUAAUUUUGCGUACUAAAUCUAUAAAGGCGUAGGUGUUAUUAUGUGUAUUAAAUUGCAUUCUUAUCGUCAUGAGUGAUCCAUCUAUAUUACGUGAAUUCUCAGGCACUUAUGACAUUAGAGCUUCCUCGUAUUGUUGCAUAUAAUGUAUCCUCUAGAGACAGUUUUACUGUUCUUUAUAAUGCCUUAAUCACGUCACAUCUAGAGCAUGUCUCGGUCGUAUGAAAUAAUCCCUCACUGACAGACUAAUAAAUUAAAAUAUAUUCAAAGGAAAUUUGUCAGUUUCUGCCAGUAUCGGGUUUUUCAGUCUGAUAUCUCACGUAACUAUGAUUUGAUUUUAACUUCCUUAGAGCUUAGAACACUAUCCCAAAUGAAGACGUCUCGUUGCUUUAUGUCUCAUCAAUGCUUGACGGGUAGUAUAAAUCGCCAUUUCUUCAUUUACAUUAUUUGUGUACGUUUGGCCGGAAGAUGUACAUAAGAGCAUUUCCUACCUUUGUUGUAAACACUGCGUCAAGAUCUAGUCCUUCAGUCACGUGCUUCAGUGCUGGAAGUGACGUGUGUAAAUCUUUAGACGUAUUUUGCUGAAGAGGUUCGAUUCUUUUCCUUCUUCUUCCUUAGCGUGAAUUGAGUGCCAUCGGGCCAGUUCCGAGUUUAAAUAAAUAAAUCUUGCCUUUCCACUGACUUCUAGUUCUUCCUUUAAUCCCUCGUUUGUGUUCGUUUAUAUGUAAGUUUUCUCCUGUCCACUUAACAUUUGUAUGUCAUUUAUAAUAUUUGUGUUCUUCAAUCGGUUCUUCAUUGAUAAUUUUGUAAUUUAUCUGUUCGGAUAACCUAUCGUCAUACUCUCAGUAAUCUCAAGAGGUAAUAAUCUAAUCGCCUCGUCACCCUUUCUUAGAAUUCAGGUUUCGGUGCCAAACUUUAGCGCUGAUUUAGUUGCAAUUUUAUGCGGUCUGAAUGAAGUGCCCGUAUUCAUUUUGUUCCUAAAAUGUCUUUUUUUAACUCCAUUAAGUUUAUUGUAUUUACCCAAUCUUGUUUCAUGCUCUUAUUUCAUUUUUAGUUUUCAGGAUUUUAUUUUUAUUUGCUCUCGUGACGGUAAUAUCUCUUUGAUUUAGAUUUCUUCAUGUGCUUUGCUGUUUCGUCAUUGACUUAUUCUUACGUUUGCUUCAGGUUUUACAUGUUAUGUUAGAUUUUUCUUGGCAUUCUGAAUUAGUAUGUUGACACGGUGUGGGAUAGAGUGGCGUGCUGUUGGUUGUAUGCCGGGGUGGAGUAUAAGAAAGGUGUUUGUGUCAGUUGAGUGCUUCUAGGGUGCAGCAGUGGCAGGAAUUUAGUGAAGCGUGAUUGUAGUAUGUAUGAAUUGUAAAUGAGUGGAUUGAAGUCUGGAGUAGAAAGUUGAAUUGAGCGGAUUAAAAUGGUGUUUGGCGGAGUGGAAUUUAAUGAAGUGUUAGUAGAAUUACAAGGAAUGAGGAGAGAGAGAAAGGGGCGAAUGUGAUGAGAGUGAGGAGUGACUGAAGCGAAAGUAGAUAUAUUUCGAGGAAUUCUGGCUCAACCGUUAAAAUUAACCACCGCAAAGAAAUUCCCAACAAGAAUUUUUUCAAGAAUUCUCCGGAAAUAUUUAGAGAGUUCUGGCGCAAAGAGAAAGUUAACCAUCACAACGAAUAUUCCGAAACAAAUUUUUUUCAAUAAUUUUAAUGUUUUCUGAAAAGAAUUUAAUGUUUUCAACAAAUACUUUCCGAAAGCAAUUUGUCCAAGAAUUUUUCGAAAACAAUUUCCGCAAUGAAUUUUCCUAAAAUAAUUUGUUUUCAGGAUGCAGCUUCUCCUCAUCCUCGGUAAUAAUCUCUCCCCAAGGUUUUAAUUUUAAAAAUAUUUCACCUCUUCUUCCCAACACAAUAUUUCGUGUUCUUUCAAACUGUAAAACUAUUUCAUUCUUAAUAAAUGAACACUUGUAAAACAAGUGUGCGUUGGAGUCUGUUUGUUGGAGUGUUCAAAUUUCUAACGCCAAAUAAACUUAUGAGAUGUGUAUUCAUUGAUUUUGCCAGAUUGUUCGGAAGUUUAUAUUUUGGCAGAAUACGACAUUUUAUUAUGGACCAAGUCAUAAAACUUGCUUAAUACAUAUGUUUAUGUGAGGGUUCGUAGUAGAAGAAGAAUAUGUUUCCACUGUUUGUUUCUUUCAUUUACAUUGCUGUUGUUGAAAUGGUUGGAUGAAUUUGUGAUUAUGUAAACCACACUCUAUUUUAAGUGUACUUAAUUUGGUUUUCUUUUCUUUUCUUUUUUUACCCUCCUUGAACAUAAUGACGGUGGGAUUUUUUAAAAUAGUUCUUUGAUUUAUCGUUCCCCUUCAACACGACCGUAACUAUCACGACCACCACCACGAAAAUACCAAGAACAGCACCACGACCGUGACCGCUAACAAAAACCAACACCACCACGACAAACACGACGCCACCACGUCCACGAACACCACACUCACAAACACCAACGUUCCCACACCCGCUGUGAAGAGUACCUCCACAAUCACGACCACGACACGACCGCCAUCACAACUAAAACCCUCACGACGACGACAACGAAGUCGAAAAUAACGACCAAGACCACUACGACCACCGCAUCCACGAAUACCAUGACCGCCACGUCUAGUGCCUCCAACACCAACAAAACCACGAUCAACAGCACUAAUACUAAUAUCAACACCACGACUACCACGACCGUUUCUAUCACCAUCACCUCAUUUACCAUGACCAUUACCACUACGUCCACCGGCACAACCACCAAACCACUACGAUUACCACACGACUAUUAGCACGACCAAAACUAUCACUAACAACACUAACACGAACACCAUGAUAACUACGAUAACAACUGUCACGACACCCACCACCAUGAUGAUGACUAACACCACUAACAUAGCCGCUACGACCAUAAACAUGAAACGAUCAUGACCUUCAUUAUUACGACUAGAAACCACAACUACAAUAAACAGCACGACCACUAAGACCACGAACAUCACUACCACGUUUCUACCACAAUGGCAUCCACGACAACGACGAUCACCACUACCAUCUCCAGAAAUACUACCAGCACUACAAUCACGAUCACAACUCACAACACCAAUAGCAAUACCAGCAUCACCACCAGCACCACCGCCACCGCCAACACAACGAUCACUACCACGUACUAAUCCACGAUAUUCAUUACAACGAUUUGUAGGACCACUACAAUCAACACCGCAAUUAACAUCUCGACGUCCAUCAUUAUGGAAACCUGCACCACAAAUCUAUUAUCACGACGACCACCAACACGACCGCCAAUAAGAUGACCACCACAAACUCAAACAUCAAUAUGACAAUCAUCACUAUCAUCACCAUUACAAUAACGCGAUGACCAUUACCUAAACCUAGACUAUCCCCUCAACCACCAAGAGCAACGCCAAAUUAUGAUCACCUCCGACAUGACAAACAUCACCUCGACCGGCACCACCACCAACUAUUCCGCACACACCACCAUCACAACGUCGGCCACCGCCAACAUGACCACCACAAUCACAGGCACCAACAAGACAACGUUCACCACUACGACCACUUCGACCACCAGUACAUCGAGAAUCACCAUCACCACCAUCAUCACCAUAUUCAUCACCACUACGACCAACACGUUGACCACGACUGGGUUAAGUCAGCUGUUGACACCCUCAUGAGUAUUCGAUUUUGUAAUGUGUCGUCGAGGUAAUUGGAGGUUGCAUUAGAAAUUUAGGUUGGCAACCACAGAUUGGGGCGGGGUGGGGCCCCAAUCAUUACGUUCUAAUAUUAAUCAUGUAACUGUGUAAGGAUGAAUUACGUUGUAUCAUAUUUACCUUUCUGAAUUAGUUUCAUGUUACAUUAAGGUAAGUAAUGUCGAUUCGCUGGAAGAUAUUUUGUGAUUUGUACUUUUAUGUUUGUGUGCUUUGGCAUAUGGAAUGAAAUCUUCAGACUUAA